AACGAACGCUGGCGGCAGGCUUAACACAUGCAAGUCGAACGCACCGCAAGGGGAGUGGCAGACGGGUGAGUAACGCGUGGGAACGUGCCCUUCGCUUCGGAAUAGUCCCGGGAAACUGGGUUUAAUAACGGAUACGCCGUAUUGGGAGAGAUUUAUCGGCGAAGGAUCGGCCCGCGUUAGAUUAGGUAGUUGGCGGUGUGAUGGACCACCAAGCCUACGAUCUAUAGCUGGUCUGAGAGGAUGAUCAGCCACACUGGGACUGAGACACUGCCCAGACUCCUACGGGAGGCAGCAGUGGGGAAUCUUGGACAAUGGGCGAAAGCCUGACCCAGCCAUGCCGCGUGAGUGAAGAAGGCCUUAGGGUUGUAAAACUCUUUCGCCGGAGAAGAUAAUGACGGUAUCCGGAGAAGAAGCCCCGGCUAACUUCGUGCCAGCAGCCGCCGUAA
rnacentral:rRNA from 1 species